GUUGCUUCUACUGGUGAACUCAAUCUGUUUCAAUGAUGAUGUUCGUGUUUCCGAAGCAUAAAUGAAUAUUUAAGCCAGUUUUAAACAGCUUGUUGCAAUCUUCUUGCUUCUAUGCUACCUGUCUAUUGGUAUAUUU